AACGCAAAUUUCACGGCCUUUCACGACCAAAAAAGCAUUCCAUUGAGGUUGAACUCUAUUUUGGCGUUCUGACCCAUGACCAUCGGAGUAUGGUUGUGCUUGUGAGCUUGUAUUGGACCGGAGAACAAAACUGUUGAUCUUGGGUGCAGCACUUCAUCUGUUGAAUAACUAUGUUUAUUUCUAAGGGUUUACCUUCGUGUGCCCGUAUGGGAAGUGGUGCAAUGAUCAGCAGGACAUUU
rfam:Millerozyma farinosa CBS 7064 chromosome B complete sequence